rnacentral:pre_miRNA from 15 species
CGUGAAAAAUGUACUUGAGAGAGCUUCCUUCGGUCCAUUCAUGGAUGGUUGUGGAGUUGAAUCAGCUGCCGACUCAUUCAUUCAAACACUCAGUAGAAAGGAAGUGCGCAAAUUAUGCAAGUCUGCAGCAGACAGAAUAGGCUUCGGAACUGAGUGAGCUACUAUGUGAAUGAGUGAAUGAUGCGGGAGCUUAUUCUCUCUCUUCAAGUCCAUACUUGGACUGAAGGGAGCUCCCUCUUCCUCAUCUCUUAUA